rnacentral:rRNA from 1 species
CCCUUAGAUGUUCUGGGCUGCACGCGCGCUACACUGGUGCGUUCAGCGAGUUUAGCACCUUAACAGAUAUGUUUGGGUAAUCUUCUGAAAACGCACCGUGAUGGGGAUCGAUUAUUGUAAUUAUUAAUCGUCAACUAGGAAUUCCUAGUAAGUGUGAAUCAUCAGUUCGCGCUGAUUACGUCCCUGCCCUUUGUACACACCGCCCGUCGCUGCUACCGAUUGAGUGGUCCGGUGAAUUAUUCGGACCGGUGGACUGUGGGGUAACUCGCGGUCUGCUGGGAAGUCUUGUGAACCUUAUCACUUAGAGGAAGCAGAAGUCGUAACA